GGAGAGGUCGCAUAGUGGCCUAGUGCACACCCUUGGAAAGGGUGCGUGGGGUAACUCACCGGGAGUUCGAAUCUCCCUCUCUCCGCCA
rnacentral:tRNA from 1 species